UACGGAGGAUGCAAGCGUUAUCCGGAAUGAUUGGGCGUAAAGCGUCCGCAGGUGGCAAUGUAAGUCUGCUGUCAAAGCGUCUGGCUCAACCAGAUAAAGGCAGUGGAAACUACAUAGCUAGAGUAAGGUAGGGGUAGAGGGAAUUCCUGGUGUAGCGGUGAAAUGCGUAGAGAUCAGGAAGAACACCGGUGGCGAAAGCGCUCUGCUGGACCUUAACUGACACUGAGGGACGAAAAGCUAGGGGAGCGAAUGGG
rnacentral:rRNA from 1 species